ACACAGCGUCUGGUUGAUACAAGUUUGUAACAAAGCCUCUGAUUGGUCAAGUGGAUCAAACAUGGACAACUAGAAGUCCGCGAACAACAACAGUAAUCUUUUACGUCUUGAAAAACGGGAUAAAAAUGAUCAUUUAAGUCAUUCAAUGUUGGAUUUAUCAUCGUGGACGUGUUGUACAAAGACUCCGAAGAGACACUGAAGUUCCAGGGGCACUACAAAUCUCCUGAAAGGGCCACGAACGACGCAAGUGUUAGCUUCCCGUCCAAACAAACCCUCCACGAAGGUCUGCACCUGUGCUGUGGCGCCGAGCUAAAGUUUCGACUCUGAACAACAAAGUGGACGCAAGGAAGGAAAAAGACAGUCUGGGAAAAAGGUGUCAUUGACCGGCAGACAACUUUUAGAUUCCCGCCCUCUCGUCAAGAAACAAAUGGGUCAGUGAUAUGCUCAUUAAGGUCCCGACACAUCCGAAACAAUUCAUGAACUGUGAACCAUAAAGCGCUCGUUGGAGCACACGAUAUGAAUAUGCAAUAGGGUGGUCAAUUGAUAUGUGCUGAAGGGGAUCAAUACGGUCGACAUGCACGAGGUCUGGGUUUUAUUUUCUCACAGGGAUCAAGGCUUCGCAAUUGUCGGCGCGUCGAUGAUCACAAACACAAACACAGCCUCAUUGACUUGUGAUUGAUCUGUUACAUCACACUGGAGGCAGAGCUCGACAGCUCCUUACAUAUAAAGUCGUUGACACUCCAGAGCUUGUUACGUGUACCCAGGGUCACAAUGAUCAAUGGUUUUCAUUACAGUUAAAUCCAAUAGUUUUUUUUCCGGAAUGAUUUAUCGUUCAGGGUAUGAAGUGUCUAAAAAUAGUCAGAAGUUCCAAUCAGAAGUGCAGACCAAGGCGCAAUCUUCAAAUUCCCAUAUUGUGUGUGAACUGCAGUGAUAAAUAUUAACACCACCACGUUCCACUGUUAUAUCUCCUCCAAAACCACGUCAAGGAUACCGAUUGUCCCCAGAGAAUCCUCUUAUUUAGCGCCACCAGCUGGUUGAAUUGUUCACUUAUGGCAAUUUGUACUUUGUCAAAACACUUUGGUUUAUGACCGAACCAAAUUAUCUACAAAACUUGAUGGGAUUCCCAUGAGCCUGAGCUGCACUUUGUGUGUAGUGAUUAUUAGCAAAUAUUAAUACGCUGAGACAACAAACUAAAAUGGUGUCCAAUAAUUUCCUAGCGAUUGAUGGAUGUAUCCGUUGACCAGUGGUUUUGGCACAUUUGCAUAACGAACACAAUUAGAUGAGCAUUUUACAGUAUAAAAUUUUAUUUUACAGCAAGGCUCUACACAUUCCCUGUGUAGAGCCUUGCUGUGGAUUUAUUAUUUAUGCUAAAAUGGUCAGAAACACUUCAGUGGCUAUUCAAAUUUGUCUUAUAUAUAAUGAUUAGCUCUUAUUCAUCGCAGCGUGUGGAGAACAUCUUCGUCUUCAUGGGUAAAAACAUAAUCCUGCAUGAUAUCCCAUUCAAGCAGCCAUAACAGAGAUACACAGGAGAAUGAAAACAGUCAACAGAGAAGAGGUAAAAAAUAAUGAACUCUUUAAUAAAAAAUACAUUUAUAAAUUCGGCAGCAUUGACUUCUCUUGACCAUUUCCGUCAACCCAGGAGGAGAGAAAUGAGGGAAACCAGCUGUACAGUAGCUAUUCAAAAUAAACCACAUCCUGGGUAGCAAACACACGUAGAAGUGACAGAGAAAUGGCAAGUUGGCAAGUAGGAAGAACAGCGGAAACAAGAGAGACGGGAACGUUUCUGGUGGAGUGUUCCUGGCAAACAAAGACCAAAACAGAACUGUUGAACUGAAACCAACAUUUUUUUUUUUCCUACAUCAGUGUCGACACCACAAACAGGACAGCGUUGCUUUGGGUUGAUCAUUAACACCAUGAGGUUCGGUCAUUCUAAUACAACUACAGCAGCUUGGUAUGAAGACAAACAGCACAUCGACUUGUCCCGACUCACUGAAGUGAGAGCAUAGUGAGAGCGACUGCGGAUCAGUGUUUAACGAACACCUCUUCCUGGUCUGGGGAGGAAAACGGAGUCACCACCACUUUAUACUGAAAACCGUGUGCAUGUGAUCACUAGGAUACAUCAGGACAGAGAUGAAGGCUCACAGAUAUUCUCAUGACUGGGUGGCGCUGACGGGUGGACAGACUGGGAGGUCACAGGUUCUACAGCAGCCUUUAUCGCACACAGGAGGAAGCUUUGACUGGUUUUCUAAAAAAUCUGUCCUGCUCAUGCUUUAGUCGUUUGUUUUUUGUGUGUGUGUUUUGUUUUGAAGCCUCUUAAUACACUCGGGCGGGACUUGUUGUGGCUCGGGAGUAGCUUCUUCUGAGGCCCCGCCCGGUGAAGUUCCUGCCCACACAGAUUGUGCUCAGACGUGCCACAUACUGGGGGUGUUUGGGGACAUAUGGAGGGGUUAGUUGGCUUGGAGCGAAGCCAUGGCAACACAUGUGGCCAUAGACGUUUAUAUGGUAAUUACAUAGAUGGGGACCAGUUGGCAAAAAGAGGAUUGUUUUUAACAUUUGGUCAAAGCACGUGCAAUGCCUUUUAUUGCCCUUUCUUUCACCAGAGUCCUCAAAUAUUCAGUGCAUCUGACAUAAAAAAGCUAUUGACUGCGUUUUAAACCCUUCAUUGCUCACGUCCAGCAGCAACUUCACCCACAGCUGACGUGUCGGAGAAGUGCGGAAGUAUUGCCCCUGAAGCUGCUGACCAAAAUAUCACGGCUGCGGUUCGUAAAGUGAUGAUUAUGGGACAGGACCUGUGCCUUGGGAUGAAAUCUCACUAUGUUUAUGUUAUUUGCUGACAACGUAGUCUGGAAACAUGCAGGAAAUAUCAAGCCGGCGGGAGUUUUCUGCUGAGUUCUUUGUGGACAAAGUGCUUAGAGGGAUGGAAUAUGAUAAAGGUGGCAUCUGGAGUCUCUGGCUGUGUUGCGACAGUGACAGAUCAGGGGCUGGUUUCACAAAGAUAUUUUAGACCAGUGUUAACUGUUCGGCCUGUCUUAGAUUAGUCUCAUGUAUUUUUGACGGUUUAACAACUUACUUUAAGCCUUAAACGUUAUAGCCACUAAGAACUAGGAGCCUCGUUGACAACGGCUGACCUGUCAAAAAAAAAGGAAAACAUGGCUUAUAAUUUGCAUUUUGUUAACAAUGCUUUGGUGCAACUCAUUCUGAAAAAUUUGCAGAAUGCGGCUAACAGGAUGGAAGUGAGCAGCAGUGACGUCCUGCGGAGUCCUGCCAUACAGACAUGGAGGAACCACAGCAGCUCAGCUCCAGGUCUGCACUGCUGCCAGCUCUUAUUCUACUUGAGCCUUUUUUUGUGUCGUUACAUUCUUUGCUGGAUUUUCCGAGUAAAGUGUCGUCGUAACCGUAGAGUUCUUGCAGAAAGAUGAUAUAUAUGCCGCAGUGAGGGGAGCUGUGCGAUUUGACGGGUUUGAAAAAAACAAAACAAAAUGUGAUUUACCCAGAUUUCUUGGACAAUUAAACAUUCUAGUUGUGUCGAGAACUGCACAGCUUUGUGUAAUUGAUGAAUUCUCUCUGGCGUCUGUUGAUGACUUUGAUUUCUGCUGCUGUCAAAGUCCAUCUCUGUGAAACUGGUCCCAGUAUUUAAUUAAAUACAGUCAUUUCUGAAGUUGCCUGCCCAGUCAUGGAAAUGUCAGUCUUCUCAAAUCCCUAAGCAUUGUGUUAAAAUAUAUAUGAAGAUAAUAGUUUUCUAAAUUUUUGUUCACAAAUAGAGUAAAUGUCUCUUUGUAAAUGGUAUAAUGUUUUUUACCCUCCGAGUAUAAAUUAGACAGUUUUGUGGCGAAUCUGGGACAAACUUAUUCUCUUCUGUUUCCAUUCCUUCUCUUGACUCAGGUCAACGCUGGACUGGUGUAACUUUCGAUUCUAAGCACAGUGUGUGCAGUACUACGUUGGCGACUUCCCUUAUUUAAGUAUAAAAUGCACAGACAAUCUUCAUUAUCAUAUUCCCACACGUCUUAAUAACAGUCAACGGGCAAAACGAUUCCCUGCAAUGAAACCUGUGAGGCCAGUUCAUUACAAAUGUGCUUUGUAAAUUGUUGUGCACGGAUGAGGUGGAAGUACUUUAUGAAUUAUUUCUAACACGAUCGCUUCAAGUGGCGAUGCAGAUCCUACAGCUGCAGCACAGGGUGCUGAUAUCUCAUGACCAUAAAUGUUCAUACACUGUUCAGUAUUCAGGUUCAGUUGUGACCGUGAUCAGCAAGUGUGAUCCCGGAUUUCAGUCUUCGACACAAAACCUUUUUUAGAAAGUGCUACUGUGUAUAUUGUGCUCGUCGUCUCGCUGUGCCUUCUUCAGAUUCACUCCCAGCCUGGCUGUUUAAUGACAUUGAAAAAAGGAAAAAAGUUUUUGAGUAUCUCUCCGCAGUUGGUCAUCAGUGUAAGAGCGGCAGUGAUGACUGACAGUGUGGUAGCACCCAGAGUCUGUGACGGAUCUGUUUGAGGGACCUGUUUCAAGCGGACUCUUUUUUCCCCACUUUGAAAAGAUGGUGGAUGGCAGUCGGCAACUUUUAAAUAAGUGCAACAUUGACAUAUCUUUAAGACCAGAGUUAAAAUAUGACCGCAAUGUGUCUUUUUUUUUUCCUGCAUCCAUGGUAGGUAUGAAUAGAACCAUAAUGAAUUUGGUAUUUUGUGCUUGUUCGGAGAACACUCCUCUGAUUGAAGGUUUGACUGAAGCAUCAAACUGAAAGGGUCAGGAGCAGAAUCGCCUCCUCUGAUGUUUUACUGACGAUGAGGAUCCAAUCAGAGCUCUGCAGCUGGAGAUCUCUGUCACCGUCUGCAAACAAAAAAAAGAUUUACAUUAGAUUCCCUAAAUUAACAUGAAUGAUAUUGACAUUUAUUUGGAAGAACAACUGUUAAUUUUGAGGCUUUUAAGGUGAGAAACUUUAGAUUAAAAAUAAUUUCCAUACUUUUUAUUUUUCUAUACAACAUUUGAACAAAGCAGAAAACGUUCUCAGUCUAGCAACCACAUAUGAGCCGUAGCCUCAUAAAGAAAACACACCAGUGUGCUUAUUGCGUCACACUGCUGCCUGUCUAUCGCUGCAUAUGUCUGCUGUUAACUUCUUGAUAAACUGGCAGCAAUAUUAUAUUUGCAGGAGGGAAAAUAUCCAGCAGUUAAGACCAAUUAGGAAGCAGAUUUGAAUGGUAUUGUUUCUGAAUCAACCCUCAUAUCAGAGUGUGGGGCUCAAUGAGCUUUAUCUCUCACAAAGACAAAAGCGCCACAGACUCGAGAUCAAAUAUCUGGACCAAGUUUUAAAUGUUGAUUCGAGGCUCUGGGUGCUAAAAUAAUAAUAAAGACGACAGAUGGAGAGUCACUGCUGGGCAGCAAUAGCAGAGUAAAGUCUAUUAUUUUAUUAUUUUCUGUGGGAAGCCUUGACCUGUAAAAUGACUAUAGAGCACUGAACUGUACCUCUGCCUUGUAGAUCCAUAGUUAUCUAACAUGUGAGUGCUGGCCACCUCCAGGUUCCAGUCACACAUCUCCAGCAGCUUGAGACACUCUGACCUGCUCCUCAGACCCAAACAGAACAACUGCUCCACCUGCGGAGACAAACAAAUGUCUGACUGUCGUACAAAGACGCCGGGAGCGAGGGAGGGAGGGAGGGAGGUUGGGACAGAAGGCUCACGGGGGGAGUUACUGUAUUAACAGGGUUCCCACACAUUUUCUAUUUCAAAAUUCCAUAAUUUUUCUACCCUGACAUAUUUGACAUCCAAGUACAAAUAGCUAGAUGUUCAAAUCCAACUCUUAACAUAUUACAUUAUGACUGUGUAGCUGUUAUGUUGCACACGUGAAAGUCACGGUUUCUGUGCAUAUGCAGAUUUUUAAUGAAAUAUUGAUACUUCCAAUUCCGACAUUACCUGUUCUAGGACUGAUUCUCAUAUUAGAAUAUUGAUAUUUAAACUCUUAGUAGAACCUUAAUGCCUCUGUUCAAACACUCCUGUUGCAUAGUUUGAGACCUCUGCGUUGCAUUUUUCUUUCUCUUAUAAACUUUGCCGCCACUCGAGUGUUCCCUUGUGUGGCUCCCAUUCGACUGCCUCCAUCCACCACCUUUGCCGGCCAGACUGCAGCCAGUUAUCAGGGAGCUGAAGUCUGCUGUAUACACAUCAGUAUUGCACAGCCUUCUGGACGUUCCAGUUGUGGAGGGCAGCUUGGCACUCCUCUAUCGUGACACCGUGAACUGCAUCCUGCACCUGGAUCAUACAACAACCGUCUGUGUGGGCCGAGUGCCGCUAAGAUCCAAACCCAGAACAUCAGGAGGAUCCAUGGGAUUCCCGAGGUACAGCCUGGAGAGAGGAGAGCGACAAACUUCAUUACAGAUAAUGGAAGCCCCAGCAGCGGCGAGGGUUGGAGUCUCCGUGUCCUGUGUGGAUGAAGCUGUUCUUCAGCGGCCGGCUGAUAUCAUGAGCUGACAAACCCGCCACUGAUGUCACCACAUUUCUGGGGAACUGUCCGACUUUGAGAGUGCGCUUGUUUUGACCUCGCCACCAGUAGUUCUCCGCCCUGAGAGACGGAGAUAGUGAGGAUGAGACAGGAUCAACCACACUUUUUGACAUUGGGUGUCGGGGGUGAAAUGUGUACAUCUGCAGGGGACAUCAAAUAAUCAGACUGGACAUUAAGUAACCUGACAGUCACACUAUAGUGCAUUUAGUUUAGUAGAAAUUCUUCAACUAAUUAAUGAGGUUUGCAAGUCGAAAUAUCUUUAAAGGUCACUUUCCAUCUUGUUUUUUUUUUACUUUAAAACAACAUUCAUCAGUAGUGAGGUUGGAAAUAAGGUUUAUUAAACAACUAUUAAACUCA